CAAUAGCGUAUAUUAAAGUUGUUGCAGUUAAAAAGCUCGUAGUUGGAUUUCUGGUGGGAGCGAUCGGUCUGGCGCUUAGCGCGAGUACUUGCAUCGUCUCCGGCCAUCCUUGGGGAGAGUCUGUCUGGCAUUAGGUUGUCGGGCAGAGGAUCCUCAUCGUUUACUGUGAAAAAAUUAGAGUGUUCAAAGCAGGCUUAUGCCGUUGAAUAUGUUAGCAUGGAAUAAUAAGAUAGGACUUUGGUACUAUUUUGUUGGUUUGCGCACCAAAGUAAUGGUUAAUAGGGACAGUUGGGGGUAUUCGUAUUCCGUUGUCAGAGGUGAAAUUCUUGGAUUUACGGAAGACGAACUACUGCGAAAGCAUUUACCAAGGAUGUUUUCAUUAA
rnacentral:rRNA from 1 species